AGAGUUUGAUCCUGGCUCAAGAUGAACUCUAGCUACAGGCUUAACACAUGCAAGUCGAGGGGCAGCAUGGUCUUAUCUUGCUAAGGCCGAUGGCGACCGGCGCACGGGUGAGUAACGCGUAUCCAACCUGCCUUACACUCUUGGACAGCCUUCUGAAAGGGAGAUUAAUACAAGAUGUUAUCAUGAGUAAGCAUUUUCGCAUGAUUAAAGGUUUACCGGUGUAAGAUGGGGAUGCGUUCCAUUAGAUAGUAGGCGGGGUAACGGCCCACCUAGUCUUCGAUGGAUAGGGGUUCUGAGAGGAAGGUCCCCCACAUUGGAACUGAGACACGGUCCAAACUCCUACGGGAGGCAGCAGUGAGGAAUAUUGGUCAAUGGACGAGAGUCUGAACCAGCCAAGUAGCGUGAAGGAUGAAGGUUCUAUGGAUUGUAAACUUCUUUUAUACGGGAAUAAACGGAUCCACGUGUGGAUUUUUGCAUGUACCGUAUGAAUAAGGAUCGGCUAACUCCGUGCCAGCAGCCGCGGUAAUACGGAGGAUCCGAGCGUUAUCCGGAUUUAUUGGGUUUAAAGGGAGCGUAGAUGGGUUGUUAAGUCAGUUGUGAAAGUUUGCGGCUCAACCGUAAAAUUGCAAUUGAUACUGGCAGUCUUGAGUACAGUUGAGGUAGGCGGAAUUCGUGGUGUAGCGGUGAAAUGCUUAGAUAUCACGAAGAACUCCGAUUGCGAAGGCAGCUUACUAACCUGUAACUGACAUUGAUGCUCGAAAGUGUGGGUAUCAAACAGGAUUAGAUACCCUGGUAGUCCACACGGUAAACGAUGAAUACUCGCUGUAGGCGAUAUACAGUCUGCGGCCAAGCGAAAGCAUUAAGUAUUCCACCUGGGGAGUACGCCGGCAACGGUGAAACUCAAAGGAAUUGACGGGGGCCCGCACAAGCGGAGGAACAUGUGGUUUAAUUCGAUGAUACGCGAGGAACCUUACCCGGGCUUAAAUUGCAACCGAAUAUGGCGGAAACGCUAUAGCUAGCAAUAGCGGUUGUGAAGGUGCUGCAUGGUUGUCGUCAGCUCGUGCCGUGAGGUGUCGGCUUAAGUGCCAUAACGAGCGCAACCCUUGCCGAUAGUUACUAACAGGUCAUGCUGAGGACUCUGUCGGGACUGCCAUCGUAAGAUGUGAGGAAGGUGGGGAUGACGUCAAAUCAGCACGGCCCUUACGUCCGGGGCUACACACGUGUUACAAUGGGGGGUACAGAGGGCUGCUACCACGCAAGUGGAUGCCAAUCCCAAAAACCUCUCUCAGUUCGGAUUGAAGUCUGCAACCCGACUUCAUGAAGCUGGAUUCGCUAGUAAUCGCGCAUCAGCCACGGCGCGGUGAAUACGUUCCCGGGCCUUGCAC
rnacentral:rRNA from 1 species